rnacentral:rRNA from 1 species
AGGACGAACGCUGGCGGCGUGCCUAACACAUGCAAGUCGAACGGGACCGGGGGCAACUCUGGUUCAGUGGCGGACGGGUGCGUAACACGUGAGGAACAUGACUUUCGGCGGGGGAUAGCCGGCCCAACGGCCGGGUAAUACCGCGUACGACCUCUCGGGGACAUCCCCGGUUGGUGAAAGCAGCAAUGCACCGAAAGAGUGCCUCGCGGCCUAUCAGCUAGUUGGUGAGGUAACGGCUCACCAAGGCGACGACGGGUAGCUGGUCUGAGAGGAUGGCCAGCCACAUUGGGACUGAGACACGGCCCAGACUCCUACGGGAGGCAGCAGUGGGGAAUAUUGCGCAAUGGGCGAAAGCCUGACGCAGCGACGCCGCGUGUGGGAUGACGGCCUUCGGGUUGUAAACCACUGUCGGGAGGGACGAAUGCGCCGCAAGGCGAGUGACGGUACCUCCGAAAGGAGCACCGGCUAACUCCGUGCCAGCAGCCGC